rnacentral:tRNA from 1 species
AAUUUGUGCUCGGACUUUAACCGAGAUCAAUGACCCGAAGAACCACCGUUGUAGUUCAACUAAAAGAAC